rnacentral:rRNA from 1 species
UACGUAGGGGGCAAGCGUUGUCCGGAUUUAUUGGGCGUAAAGAGCGUGUAGGCGGCCAGGUAGGUGGGUUGUGAAAACUGGAGGCUCAACCUUCAGACGUCGACCCAACCCCCUGGCUAGAGUCCGGAAGAGGAGAGUGGAAUUCCUGGUGUAGCGGUGAAAUGCGCAGAUAUCAGGAGGAACACCGGUGGCGAAGGCGGUUCUCUGGGCAUGAUCUGACGCUGAGGAGCGAAAGUGUGGGGAGCGAACAGG